UAGGGAAUUGUUCGCAAUGGGCGCAAGCCUGACGACGCAACGCCGCGUGGAGGAUGAAGGUCUUCGGAUCGUAAACUUCUGUUGCCCGGGACGAAUAGCUUAGACCUAAUACGUCUGAGUAUGACGGUACCGGGUGAGGAAGCCCCGGCUAACUCUGUGCCAGCAGCCGCGGUAAUACAGAGGGGGCAAGCGUUGUUCGGAAUUACUGGGCGUAAAGGGCGCGUAGGCGGCCUGCUAAGUCGAACGUGAAAUCCCCGGGCUCAACCCGGGAACUGCGUCCGAUACUGGCAGGCUUGAAUUCGGGAGAGGGAUGCGGAAUUCCAGGUGUAGCGGUGAAAUGCGUAGAUAUCUGGAGGAACACCGGUGGCGAAGGCGGCAUCCUGGACCGGUAUUGACGCUGAGGCACGAAAGCGUGGGGAGCAAACAGGAUUAGAUACCCCCGUAGUCCCUGAGCGGGCUGGCAAGGCGCAU
rnacentral:rRNA from 1 species